rnacentral:rRNA from 1 species
GAUGAACGCUAGCUACAGGCUUAACACAUGCAAGUCGCGGGGCAGCAUGGGGGUUGCUUGCAAUCCCUGAUGGCGACCGGCGCACGGGUGAGUAACGCGUAUCCAACCUGCCCUUCACCACGGGAUAACCCGGCGAAAGUCGGACUAAUACCGUAUGUUGUCCAUUGACGGCAUCCGAUUUGGACGAAAGGCUUGGCGGUGAGGGAUGGGGAUGCGUCCGAUUAGCUUGACGGCGGGGUAACGGCCCACCGUGGCGACGAUCGGUAGGGGUUCUGAGAGGAAGGUCCCCCACACUGGAACUGAGACACGGUCCAGACUCCUACGGGAGGCAGCAGUGGGGAAUAUUGGUCAAUGGGCGGAAGCCUGAACCAGCCAAGUAGCGUGCAGGAUGACGGCCCUAUGGGUUGUAAACUGCUUUUAUGCGGGGAUAAAGGAGCCCACGUGUGG